UACAGAGGGUGCGAGCGUUAAUCGGAAUUAUUGGGCGUAAAGCGCACGUAGGCGGCUUAGCAAGUCGGAUGUGAAAUCCCUCGGCUCAACCAAGGAAGUGCAUCCGAAACUGCUGAGCUUGAGUACGAAAGAGGAUCGCGGAAUUCCCGGUGUAGAGGUGAAAUUCGUAGAUAUCGGGAGGAACACCAGUGGCGAAGGCGGCGAUCUGGGUCGAUACUGACGCUGAGGUGCGAAAGCGUGGGGAGCAAACAGG
rnacentral:rRNA from 1 species